rnacentral:rRNA from 1 species
UACGUAGGGUCCGAGCGUUGUCCGGAUUUAUUGGGCGUAAAGAGCUCGUAGGCGGUUCCGUAAGUCAGAUGUGAAAACUCAGGGCUCAACCCGGAGACGCCAUCUGAUACUGCGGUGACUGGAGUCUGGUAGGGGAACACGGAAUUCCUGGUGUAGCGGUGAAAUGCGCAGAUAUCGGGAGGAACACCAGUAGCGAAGGCGGCACUCUGGGCCGGUACUGACGCUGAGGAGCGAAAGCGUGGGGAGCGAACAGG